UGCAGGGUGGCUUAGUGGAUAGCACUGUUGCCUCGCACCUCUGGGGUUGCGGGUUUGAAUCCCGCCUCCGCCC